rnacentral:rRNA from 1 species
AGAGUUUGAUCCUGGCUCAGAACGAACGCUGGCGGCGUGGAUAAGACAUGCAAGUCGAACGAGACUUUUCGUUGUAGCAAUACGAUGGAAAGUUUAGUGGCGAACGGGUGCUUAACACGUGGGCAACCUGCCAUGAAGUGGGGGAUAGCUCGCCGAAAGGCGAAUUAAUACCGCAUAUGAUUAGAGAGGACAUCCUUUCGAAAUUAAAGUCGGGGCAACCUGACGCUUCUUGUGGGGCCCGCGGCCUAUCAGCUAGUUGGUGAGGUAACGGCUCACCAAGGCUUUGACGGGUAGCUGGUCUGAGAGGACGACCAGCCACACUGGGACUGAGACACGGCCCAGACACCUACGGGUGGCAGCAGUCGAGAAUUUUUGACAAUGGGGGAAACCCUGAUCGAGCGACGCCGCGUGGAGGAUGAAGGUCUUCGGAUUGUAAACUCCUGUCAUUGGGGAACAAGGUGCAUAUGUUAACUGCGUGUGUAUUGAUAGUACCCGAAGAGGAAGAGACGGCUAACUCUGUGCCAGCAGCCGCGGUAAUAC